CUCCUACGGGAGGCAGCAGUGGGGGAUAUUGCGCAAUGGGGGAAACCCUGACGCAGCAACGCCGCGUGAAGGAAGAAGGUCUUCGGAUUGUAAACUUUUGUCUUGUGGGACGAAUCAAUGACGGUACCACAGGAGGAAGCCACGGCUAACUACGUGCCAGCAGCCGCGGUAAUACGUAGGUGGCGAGCGUUGUCCGGAAUUACUGGGUGUAAAGGGUGCGUAGGCGGGGAUGCAAGUCAGAUGUGAAAUCUAUCGGCUUAACUGGUAAACUGCAUUUGAAACUGCAUUUCUUGAGUGGUGGAGAGGUAAGCGGAAUUCCUAGUGUAGCGGUGAAAUGCGUAGAUAUUAGGAGGAACACCAGUGGCGAAGGCGGCUUACUGGACACUAACUGACGCUGAGGCACGAAAGCAUGGGGAGCAAACAGGAUUAGAUACCCUGGUAGUCCAUGCCGUAAACGAUGAUUACUAGGUGUAGGAGGUAUCGACCCCUUCUGUGCCGGAGUAACAC
rnacentral:rRNA from 1 species